rnacentral:lncRNA from 1 species
UGGUUCUCUUCUUCCACAACAAGAGGAAGGUGCGGUGUGGCUACGACAUAGUUGAAGUUCAGGAUAUUGUUAUUGCUUUCUCAAAUUUUGCUUGGGAGUAGUUCGACGAGCGCAGAUGUGCAGCUUCGCCAGCGCGAUAGUGGAGGAGGCAGUACACUUUGCAUCUUGCAGUACGAACCCCAUCGCGUCGUGGUGCAGUCAACCACAACGCAGAGCCUUGAAAAUUUGUUCGUGCUAUUUAGAGUUCUCUCAAUGUGUAGAAGAUAAUUAUUUCACCUUUUUGAAGUCCGCUUUGUUCUUGGUUGUGGCACGCAAAAAAGGUGAUGCAGUUUUCU